ensembl:misc_RNA 7SK 7SK RNA
AGAUUUGAGGGCGAUCUGGCUGAGACAUCUGUCACCCCAUUGAUCCCCAGGGUUGAUUCGGCUGAUCUGGCUAGCUAGGCGGGUGUCCCCUUCCUCCCUCACCACUUCAUGUGAGUACUUCCUGUAGCUGCUCAUUCCAUCAAAGAGGACAGCCUUUUCCCAAUAGAGAUGGACUGGUCUUCUGUCAAGGGUAUAGGAGCAGCUGUGCUCCCCUGCUAGAACCUCCUAACAAGCUCUCAAGAUACAGUUAUUUGUGAAUAGCAUUAAAUGACAUAAAUCAUAGUAAGGUCUUUUAUAGUACAGUAAAUCCU